rnacentral:rRNA from 1 species
AUUGAACGCUGGCGGCAGGCUUAACACAUGCAAGUCGAGCGGGGUGAUGGUGCUUGCACUAUCACUUAGCGGCGGACGGGUGAGUAAUGCUUAGGAAUCUGCCUAUUAGUGGGGGACAACAUCCCGAAAGGGAUGCUAAUACCGCAUACGUCCUACGGGAGAAAGCAGGGGAUCACUUGUGACCUUGCGCUAAUAGAUGAGCCUAAGUCGGAUUAGCUAGUUGGUGGGGUAAAGGCCUACCAAGGCGACGAUCUGUAGCGGGUCUGAGAGGAUGAUACGCCACACUUGGACUGAGACGCGGCCCAGACUCCUACGGGAGGCAGCAGUGGGGAAUAGUGGACAAUGGGGGGAACCCUGAUCCAGCCAUGCCGCGUGUGUGAAGAAGGCCUUAUGGUUGUAAAGCACUUUAAGCGAGGAGGAGGCUCUUUUGGUUAAUACCCAAGAUGAGUGGACGUUACUCGCAGAAUAAGCACCGGCUAACUCUGUGCCAGCCGCCGCAGUAA